AUACGGGGGGGGCAAGCGUUGUUCGGAAUUAUUGGGCGUAAAGGGCGCGUAGGCGGUCCCGCAAGUCUUUCGUGAAAUCCCACAGCUCAACUGUGGAACUGCGAGGGAAACUGCAGGACUUGAGUCCGGGAGAGGAGAGUGGAAUUCCCAGUGUAGCGGUGAAAUGCGUAGAUAUUGGGAGGAACACCGGUGGCGAAGGCGGCUCUCUGGACCGGUACUGACGCUGAGGCGCGAAAGCUAGGGGAGCAAACGGGAUUAGAAACCCCAGUAGUCC
rnacentral:rRNA from 1 species